rnacentral:rRNA from 1 species
UACGUAGGGUGCAAGCGUUGUCCGGAAUUAUUGGGCGUAAAGAGCUCGUGAGCGGUUUGUCGCGUCUGCUGUGAAAACUCGGGGCUUAACCCCGGGCCUGCAGUGGGUACGGGCAGACUAGAGUGCGGUAGGGGAGACUGGAAUUCCUGGUGUAGCGGUGAAAUGCGCAGAUAUCAGGAGGAACACCGGUGGCGAAGGCGGGUCUCUGGGCCGUAACUGACGCUGAGGAGCGAAAGCGUGGGGAGCGAACAGG